rnacentral:rRNA from 1 species
CGUGGGUAACCUACCCAUCAGAGGGGGAUAACACUUGGAAACAGGCGCUAAUACCGCAUAACAGUUUAUGCCGCAUGGCAUAAGAGUGAAAGGCGCUUUCGGGUGUCGCUGAUGGAUGGACCCGCGGUGUAUUAGCUAGUUGGUGAGGUAACGGCUCACCAAGGCCACGAUGCAUAGCCGACCUGAGAGGGUGAUCGGCCACACUGGGACUGAGACACGGCCCAG